UAUCACACCAAAAUUACUGCUAAAUUUUUGCGCCGGCACCGCCUGGGGCUGUCUCACUUGGCGGCCUUCUCCCUAUCGCUCCGGUCCUUCUCCACCUUGUACGCCCUGCAAACCUUGGCCGAGUGGCCGAGGGUCGAGGACGGGGUCACCAGCAUAUGUGUGCAAACCUUGUCCGAGUGGCCGAGGGUCGAGGACGGGGUCACCAGCAUAUGUGUGCAAACCUUGUCCGAGUGGCCGAGGGUCGGGGUCACCAGCAUCUGUGUGCAAAUCUUGUCCGAGUGGCCGAGGGUCAAGGACGGGGUCACCAGCAUCUAUCUGUGUGCAUUUCUCGCACGGAUGCGUAUGCUUGUACUGCUCAACGGCUUUUUUUGUCAUGAUUCGCCCCCGUGCCUUGCCUUUUCCCUUCCCCAUCUGGAGAUGGGCCAUAAAAAAUCAAUCAUCAGAGGCAGGAUGUUAAACUCGACAGAACAAUUGCAUGCAAACCGUGCAGCACAUCUACGUACGUAAUCUAGAGUAAACAUGCACGUGUACAUGUAUAUAUAUAUAUCAAACGUUUCCAGAUUUAAUCAGAUGCACGCACCACGUUUCAUCGUCCCUAAAUACGGAGUCGAAGAAAACCCACACGCACCAUGUUUCGCCGUCUCCAAUAGAAGAAAACCCACACGCACCAUGUUUCACCGUCUCCAAUAGAAGAAAACACACACGCACAUAUAUAUCGGAAACCAUCUCAAUCGAACGCCACGUGCAUGAGACGAAAAAAGAACUACAGAUAACAAUCAACCGACACACAAGAAAACUAUAGCGCCAAUAGUCGCGGAAUCACACAUGGUAUCGAUCAGAUCUAGAGUUGUACGCAGGUUCAAAACCCUCCCAAACGACUGGAACAACACACAUUUCAUGGAACCGCAAAAGGAACCCCCGACGAUAACGAUUCGCUCGUGAAGCAGAAAAACAACAAAGCGAACAUGCGCGUGAGCAGCGAGCAACGAGUGCAGGAGCAGCGGCGUACAUGCAUAAAUACCAGCCAUGAAACUCGACGAUCCAAACGACUAAGGCAACGGAACAUCAACCAGGAGACCAGCAGCGAGUACUCCCGGUCUAACCUGGACGCGAUCUGGGUCGCGCCGCCGGGGAAGGGAGGGAAGGUUCUUGGGCUUGCACCGUCGGGGAGGGGUCGGUUGCUUGGGAGCGGUGCGACAAACGAGGGCUGACAGGAGGAGGAGACGGGCGCGCGGAUCCGGUGCCACUGGUGGGUAUUUAUAGGUGGAGAGAACAAUGAC
rnacentral:lncRNA from 1 species